CAGCCCUUUGCAGAGACUGAGUCAUCUCUCAACCUGAGGCUCAUUCAUGGAGUGUGUUCUGAAAAUGACGUAUCCGCUCAGCAAAAGAAAUUGUCUCUACAGGCUGGUGAAUGAAGAUAUGGGGUGGAGAUCCAACAUGAGAAUGAGAUGUUUGGCCGUAUUAAGAUGGGAGUAGAGAAAAUACAAAGAGCUGGACCCUCCACCCAAGAGGGAAGCACCACACCCGCCCCACCACCAUCCCGGACACGUAGCACCUGCAGGCACUGGUGUGUCUACACAGACCUGCUGAAAGAGCAUCUAGUGGUCCUGCAGGACCUCAACAGGACUCUUCAGCAGAGGAUGGAGGCAGAGGCCAAAUGGCGCACCAGGUUGCUGGAUGAGCUGGUCCAGCAGCACACUGCCAUCUGUGACACUAUACGGGAGGCCCUAGCCUUGCCUGCCCCUGUCACAGGCACCGCUCCUCCCGCACACCAGGACCCUUUUCCCCCAGCCCCCUCUGCUCCCACAGCCC